rnacentral:lncRNA from 1 species
CCUCAAGACCAGAUUUUGCUAUUGUUUAUCUUGGUGGUACCUGUGGAAAGAACUACCUGCCUCGCUGUGUCUAAGCCUUCAAUUUCUUAAGAACAACCAAGCAGGGUUUUUACGCCUCUGCAGUAGUGAAACCCUGUGUGUCUCUGUCCCUUGUUAAACCUCCAGCUUGAGGAGGUUUGUUACUGUUACAUCAGUAACAAAGCUGUGGUGCUCUCUACAUGUCUGUAGAGAACUGAAAAAAUUAACUUAUAUAAAGGUAAUCGUGCAAAGUAAACUUCUAUAACCUUACUCAAUUACACUGCAUAGGUUAUAUUGUAUGAGUUUACAAGGAUAAUGGCACAAGGACUUGUGAAACAGGUAAGUAAUUCUUUUCUAAAGUCUGUACAAUACUGCAUGUUCCGGUAGAGGGUGCUACAGACAACCUAACUCUCUCCUCUCUUUAAGAAGCUGAUGUGGAGUUUUAUCCAGUGUGGGGGCAUUCAGGUAUGAGAUAUGUUAUUUUCUCAAGAAAAUACUGUGACAAAAUCCACUGGAGUGCCUUUUGCAGUUACAGGGAAGAGAUGUGCUAAUUCCUGAGUAUUUAACUCAAUAAAAUAUAAAAUACAAGACAGAAUCCUUUAAAAGUGUUAUGUUAAGCUAUUAUUACUUUAAAUACACAUUCCUUGUUUUAAUUGUUUUUAGUGUAUAUUUUGUUUGAUCUUCUCAGCACACUUUAAAAAAAAAAAGGGGGAGAAUGAGAAUGUAGAAUGUUUAUUGAAUAUUAUUUUCAUUUUUCUUUCCUGGAGUACUUGUUUGAGAACUACCUAAUAUACUGAGUUAAUAAUAGAACACGGCACAUUCUUCUCUAGAUGCCUGACAGCUCAGUGGCUUAAUAAUUAACUUUCUGGGGACCAAGACUGUUUUUAUCCAAGAAAAAUGUAUUCAGCCUAUCCACCGAUGAGCCCUGCUCUUGGCAGCACGCACUUCCACGAGCAAUGAUCUACAGUGAUUAUGAAUCCAUUUUGCAGCAAAGCAAUUGGAGAUGCAAGAAAGUUACCCACAAAUGUCCAGAGAGUCGCUGAUAGAAUUAGCCUGGAACUCAGGAAUCCUGCUGUCCAUUUCUCUAGUUAA